UGUGUUGUAUUGUUCAUCUGAUUGUUGUGUUUCGACCAUGGCAUAGAGCAUCACUUCCGAACUAUUAGACGUGAUGCUUGAGAGAAGAGGCUUGAUCAUUAUCUUAAUUUAGGACUAGCAAAUCUGGAGAUAAUUAAUUUUGUGUGUGUUUUAGCUGACCCUAUUUGACAUCAAGAACAUCUGCACGAGAUGGAAGUUCACUGCCAUCAUCAACACAAGAGGCUGGAUAUAACUGUCUGUGCAGUGUGCCGUUGAGUUCUUCAAGUUGUCCGCCUUAUUGAGAAUUGCAAAACGCGUGUCAACAAGACUUCUACUGGGAAGGGUUUAGCCAGUAAACUGGAGUGUCUGUUAACGAUUUCAAAUGUCCUGAGCCAAUGAGUGUUCUUCAGGAGCCGGAAUCAACUGAUAUUUACAGCCAGCGCAAUAUUGGAUGAAGUCAGGACCCUUACUUUUGGCUAUGUACACAAAUUGAAGAUGAGGCUCUGAGCAAGUCCCAUUUCAGCUCAAUCCGAAGCUCGCAGUGUUGCCUCGACCACCGCCCAUGCAGUAGUCCCAAGGAGAGUGUCACGGAUAAACCAUGGAAGCUGCGAGCAGUGCACGGGACAACAGUCAGACGCUUUGGCUUCAAGGUUGGCGCCGUCGUCAAGGAGGCUCAAGCAGGCUCUGUUCUCGGUGGCCCUGACGCAUGUGCUCCGGCUCACAUAUGGUUUUGAGGCUGCAAUUUGGUUAACAGGUCGUGUAUCCAUUUGAAAUCAUUCAGUGACAGAGCAUGUUGUUGGGUUUAAGCAUGUUUUGGAUGUCAGCAUUGAGAGAAUAUACCAAAAUUCCUUUUCUAACUUCAAAAUUAUAAAGUAUACUUGAUUACACAAGAUGGCACCUUAUAGAAAACUGAGCAUUGACCAAGUAUUUUGGUUGUGCCAUAUAUUGUUAUACUAUACCUGUUGUUCCCUUCCUGAAAAUAAGAUGGGACAAGUGAGCAUUCA